rnacentral:rRNA from 1 species
UAGUGGAAGCGUCUGGAAAGGCGCGCGAUACAGGGUGACAGCCCCGUACACAAAAGCGCAUGUGUUGUGAGCUCGAUGAGUAGGGCGGGACACGUGGUAUCCUGUCUGAAUAUGGGGGGACCAUCCUCCAAGGCUAAAUACUCCUGACUGACCGAUAGUGAACCAGUACCGUGAGGGAAAGGCGAAAAGAACCCCGGCGAGGGGAGUGAAAAAGAACCUGAAACCGUGUACGUACAAGCAGUGGGAGCACAGGUUUACCUGUGUGACUGCGUACCUUUUGUAUAAUGGGUCAGCGACUUAUAUUCUGUAGCAAGGUUAACCGUAUAGGGGAGCCGGAGGGAAACCGAGUCUUAAUUGGGCGUUAAGUUGCAGGGUAUAGACCCGAAACCCGGUGAUCUAGCCAUGGGCAGGUUGAAGGUUGGGUAACACUAACUGGAGGACCGAACCGACUAAUGUUGAAAAAUUAGCGGAUGACCUGUGGCUGGGGGUGAAAGGCCAAUCAAACCGGGAGAUAGCUGGUUCUCCCCGAAAGCUAUUUAGGUAGCGCCUCGUGAAUUCAUCUCCGGGGGUAGAGCACUGUUUCGGCUAGGGGGCCAUCCCGGCUUACCAACCCGAUGCAAACUGCGAAUACCGGAGAAUGUUAUCACGGGAGACACACGGCGGGUGCUAACGUCCGUCGUGAAGAGGGAAACAACCCAGACCGCCAGCUAAGGUCCCAAAGUCAUGGUUAAGUGGGAAACGAUGUGGGAAGGCCCAGACAGCCAGGAUGUUGGCUUAGAAGCAGCCAUCAUUUAAAGAAAGCGUAAUAGCUCACUGGUCGAGUCGGCCUGCGCGGAAGAUGUAACGGGGCUAAACCAU